ACGGGGGCCCGCACAAGCGGUGGAGUAUGUGGUUUAAUUCGAAGCAACGCGAAGAACCUUACCAGGGCUUGACAUGGGGAUGACCGGACUAGAGAUAGUCUUUUCCCUUCGGGGACAUCCCACACAGGUGGUGCAUGGUUGUCGUCAGCUCGUGUCGUGAGAUGUUGGGUUAAGUCCCGCAACGAGCGCAACCCUUAUUGUUAGUUGCUACGCAAGAGCACUCUAGCGAGACUGCCGUUGACAAAACGGAGGAAGGUGGGGACGACGUCAAAUCAUCAUGCCCCUUAUGUCCUGGGCCACACACGUACUACAAUGGUGGUCAACAGAGGGAAGCAAUACCGCGAGGUGGAGCAAAUCCCUAAAAGCCAUCCCAGUUCGGAUCGCAGGCUGAAACCCGCCUGCGUGAAGUUGGAAUCGCUAGUAAUCGCGGAUCAGCAUGCCGCGGUGAAUACGUUCCCAGGCCUUGUACACACCGCCCGUCACACCAUGAGAGUCGGGAACACCCGAAGUCCGUAGUCUAACCGCAAGGGGGACGCGGCCGAAGGUGGGUUCGAUAAUUGGGGUGAAGUCGUAACAAGGUA
rnacentral:rRNA from 1 species